GAAAAAAAGCUGCAGAUUUUCUCCCCCGACCAGAAAUCGCCUCUGAUUUUUGUUAGGCCAUUUCUUCCUCCUCCGGCCACUAAUCGUCACCAAACUUCUUCCAUUGACUUCGUAUGGUUCUUGCGUACCUGUAUGUGGCAGCCUUGCAUGGAAGCGCCGCCUGUAGAGGCGGCGGCAAGCUUGUUCCUAUUUAAGCCCGAUUUCAAGUCAACGUCGAUAUCUCGAGUUCUAGACAACCAAUCUUCUAGAUUCUUGGACUGGUGAACUCAGAUUGAAGUUCUGAACAAGUAUCAUGAAGAUAUCGAAGCGAGUUGUUGACUUUUUUACGUGGAACGGAGCUCUCAUCGGAUUCUGGAAAUUUUCCAGCGAAACCGUCUGUUCUAGGUGAUCGAUGGAUUGAUUUGACGGACGAUGGUGAAUCGUUGUUGAUCUGUUAAGAAGACGCAGCGGGAAUUUAGAGAUGUCCGAAGUUCGACGGUUAAGGAUGACCGUAGUGUUUGUGUUCUGAGGACGGGGAUGUCCGAAGUUCGACGGUUAAGGAUAACCGGAGUGGUUGUGUUCUGAGGACGGGGAUGUCCGAAGUUCGACAGUUAAGGAUAACCAGAGUAUAUUGUUCUGAGGGCUGAGAGCCGAAAGUUCGAGGGUUAUUAAGUUAACCUGGGAAUAUGUCGUUUACUUGCACCUAGGCCAAGGUGACUGUAGCGAUAUAGUUAGAGCUCUAACGUGUGGUCAAGAUGGACCAGGGUGGUGUCAGGUGGGGAUUGAGUGUUUGUAGGACCCAAGUGGGGUGUUGUGAUUUUGAGGAUUGUGUUAAUGUAUUUCCUCGUGAUUUUCCCGUGAGUGGAUUGACGUCUCCUUGCAGACGUGUUAUUGUUGAUUGAUUUGUGAGUUAAAUGGUUGUAUUAAAAUAAAAUCAAUAGUUCCUUCUUGUUUACUCACACGAGCUGUCAAAAGCUUACCGGGUUUGGUGUUGUUGCAAUCCCGGUAC